UGGGGAAUAUUGCACAAUGGGCGCAAGCCUGAUGCAGCAACGCCGCGUGAACGAUGAAGGUCUUCGGAUCGUAAAGUCCUGUUGCAGGGGAAGAUAAUGACGGUACCCUGUGAGGAAGCCCCGGCUAACUACGUGCCAGCAGCCGCGGUAAUACGUAGGGGGCUAGCGUUAUCCGGAUUUACUGGGCGUAAAGGGUGCGUAGGUGGACCUUCAAGUCGGUGGUUAAAGGCUACGGCUCAACCGUAGUAAGCCGCCGAAACUGGAGGACUUGAGUGCAGGAGAGGAAAGUGGAAUUCCCAGUGUAGCGGUGAAAUGCGUAGAUAUUGGGAAGAACACCAGUAGCGAAGGCGGCUUUCUGGACUGCAACUGACACUGAGGCACGAAAGCGUGGGUAGCAAACAG
rnacentral:rRNA from 1 species